GUGCUCACUUUGGCAGCACAUAUACUAAAAUUGGAAAGAUACAGAGAUUAGCCUGGUUCUUGCACACGGAUGAUACACGAAUUCAUGAAGUGUUUCAUAUUUUU